rnacentral:rRNA from 1 species
UAGGGAAUCUUCCACAAUGGACGCAAGUCUGAUGGAGCAACGCCGCGUGAGUGAAGAAGGUCUUCGGAUCGUAAAACUCUGUUGUUAGAGAAGAACAUGCGAGAGAGUAACUGUUCUUGUAUUGACGGUAUCUAACCAGAAAGCCACGGCUAACUACGUGCCGG